rnacentral:lncRNA from 1 species
UUGGGGAUAUUAGCAAUGGGCCCUAUUUCCCCUGAAUCUUUGCCUGUUAUGAUGGUUUUCCAGGGUUUCUCAAGUGCUCAGCAGCACCGGAAUGGCCUAGAGUGGAGCAGGGAUCACAGCUGUUGAUCAAGCUAUGCCUCCUGUCAGUGCAGCCCAGAGGGCAGUUGCUGAAGCAAGCGCAGCAGUGGUGGGAAGAUGCUGGAGCCAUUUCUUCAGGAGCGUCUUCAGCUGGACCACCUGAAAACCCAGCUCUUGAAUGCCAUUUGGUGGUGCACAGAAAAUUACAGAAAAGUCAGAGCACUGUUGACCAUGGCACAGAGGGGCAUUGAGCAUAUGGGUACAGAGUAUUUACCACAGUCAGUGGAUGUUAGGGGACAUCACAGAAUCCACUGCCAUUUGUGUUCCAGGGAGGGGUAAGUAAUGCCAAGGGAAGGCCCUGUGUGAGGAGUCUGCCUCGAUGCACAGCUUUCAAAACCUGAGCAUUUUGACCUUCAGGCUCUGGUACCAUGCUUGACAAAGAGUUGGUGCCCAGAGGCCUAAUUGGCAGCAGACUAUCUUAGCCAGCUUUUCAUAGCUGUAACAAAAUUCCUGAGGCUGGGUACUAGUAAGGAGGUUUAUUUUGCUUACUGCUCUGGAGGCUGAAAGUCCAGGGUCACAUGGCCCCUUUGAUUCAGCCUUGGUGUGGAUCUUGUUGGCAUCACCAUGAGAGGAGUAUACGCAAGAGUAAUCAUAUGGUGAGGCAGAAAGCCAGAGUGAUUCAGGGGUCUGGCACUCUUUUAUGACAACCCAUUCUCAAGGGAGCUAACCAGGGUCCUGCAAGAGCUUCUGCAAUCCCUUUUGACAGCAUUGUCCUAAUGGUCUAACCACCUCUUGCUGGGACCCACCUCUUAGACAUCCUACCACCUCUCACAUCACUACAAUGGGGACCAAGCCUCCAACACACAAAUCCUUGGGGAACACAUUUACCCAUACCAUUAACACUCUCUCGUCCCCCCACACUUCCAGGAUAACCUCUUUGUCUCUGCUUCCUUUCUACCCCC